AUGGCUUCACCUGUUGCUAUAGGCACACGAGGCACUAUUGGAUCACUAGUGAGAAAGGAAAUUGAAUAUUUCACAAAGUUCGAGUUAGAUAAAAGAGGAACUAUGCAGAAACCUCAGCACUAUCUCGCAGACAUGGAAAUGGUUUCUGAUAAAACCAUUUCCAUGUCCAUGUCCAAGCCUAGUUUUUGGUUUUUGCCAGCAACAUGGAAGAGGAAGAAGCAAAGAAACACAACAAGUAGAUUCUUCAGGAAAAUAUGUUCUGUUACAGAAGUAAAUGAAAGUAAUCAUUUCAACAGAAUUCCGGGUUACACCUACAAAAUCCUCAAGAAUGAUUUCAACAACUUUCAACUCUAA